AUUGGGCAUUGAGUCUCUUCAGCAACUUCCUUAGUCUAAAGAAGUUGAAGAAGGUUGUUUGUGAACCAGACGAACAUACAACUUUGGUUACUCCCAUCCCUUUUCGCAGGUGGUCUGAAUCUAUGUCUGGCCAUAACUUGAUAAGAUACUGUUUCAAAGAAUGUCCAAGCAAGAUCCAUAAUCCCAAUCCCUCCUAUAUGGGAAUUGAUAAAAUUGUUCAUCAAUGUGGUAGCAUCACCAGCAAUUUUUGUCGAUGCAUAAAGACUAGAUCCAGAAAGGUCACUCAGUUUUUGUCGAUCCAUUGGCUGAAUAUUGUCAAGGAUGGCCUCAUCGAUCGUGUGGGCUUCAGGGAUUUUCUGAAUGAGAUGACAUAUGUUUCCAGAGAGCCACUGACAAGGGAGCUCUGGAAUAUAUUUUCGGCGAGCUGAAAAAGAAAUCUCCGUUGAUAGAUGAUGCAGACGCCGCCAGUAAAAUAUGUUCAGCUAGAGGUGACUGGGUUCUUCUAAAUAAUGGUUUGGAUGAAGAGCUGAUUGACGAGUUAAAGUCUUAUGUUCUUGGUGUCCCUUACGAUGAGAGCAUCCUGAUUUGGCACAUUGCAACUGAGCUCUUGUACAAUGAUGAAAUGGAGAUAGAUAAUAUCUCGGAGACAGAUAAUUUCUGUAAUGAAAGAGAAUUCUG
rnacentral:misc_RNA from 1 species